rnacentral:rRNA from 1 species
GAUGAACGCUGGCGGCGUGCCUAAUACAUGCAAGUCGAGCGAACGGACGAGAAGCUUGCUUCUCUGAUGUUAGCGGCGGACGGGUGAGUAACACGUGGAUAACCUACCUAUAAGACUGGGAUAACUUCGGGAAACCGGAGCUAAUACCGGAUGAUAUUUUGAACCGCAUGGUUCAAAAGUGAAAGACGGUCUUGCUGUCACUUAUAGAUGAAUCCGCGCUGCAUUAGCUAGUUGGUAAGGUAACGGCUUACCAAGGCAACGAUGCAUAGCCGACCUGAGAGGGUGAUCGGCCACACUGGAACUGAGACACGGUCCAGACUCCUACGGGAGGCAGCAGUAGGGAAUCUUCCGCAAUGGGCGAAAGCCUGACGGAGCAACGCCGCGUGAGUGAUGAAGGUCUUCGGAUCGUAAAACUCUGUUAUUAGGGAAGAACAUAUGUGUAAGUAACUAUGCACAUCUUGACGGUACCUAAUCAGAAAGCCACGGCUAACUACGUG